GACGUAGGGCGCGAGCGUUGUCCGGAUUUAUUGGGCGUAAAGAGCUCGUAGGCGGCUUGUUGCGUCAGCUGUGAAAACCCGCAGCUCAACUGUGGGCUUGCAGCUGAUACGGGCAGGCUUGAGUUCGGUAGGGGAGACUGGAAUUCCCGGUGUAGCAGUGAAAUGCGUAGAUAUCGGGAGGAAUACCGAUGGCGAAGGCAGGUCUCUGGGCUGACACUGACGCUCAUGCACGAAAGCGUGGGGAGCAAACAGG
rnacentral:rRNA from 1 species